GCUUAACGCGAAGAACCUUACCAGGUCUUGACAUCCCAAUGACCGCUCUAGAGAUAGAGUUUUCCCUUCGGGGACAUUGGUGACAGGUGGUGCAUGGUUGUCGUCAGCUCGUGUCGUGAGAUGUUGGGUUAAGUCCCGCAACGAGCGCAACCCUUAUUCUUAGUUGCCAUCAUUUAGUUGGGCACUCUAAGGAGACUGCCGGUGACAAACCGGAGGAAGGUGGGGAUGACGUCAAAUCGUCAUGCCCCUUAUGACCUGGGCUACACACGUGCUACAAUGGACGGUACAAAGAGCUGCGAACCCGCGAGGGUAAGCCAAUCUCAUAAAACCAUUCUCAGUUCGGAUUGUAGUCUGCAACUCGACUACAUGAAGCCGGAAUCGCUAGUAAUCGCGGAUCAGCAUGCCGCGGUGAAUACGUUCCCGGGUCUUGUACACACCG
rnacentral:rRNA from 1 species